rnacentral:RNase_P_RNA from 1 species
UAUGCAGACCGCCUUAUCGCUCCAUGCUUAAGGCAUGGGGAGGAAAGUCCGGGCAACAUAGAGCAGCGCACUUCCUAACAGGAAGGUGCCGGGGCAACCCGGUAACAGCCAGUGCCACAGAAAACAGACUUCCUUGCGGUGCUAAGCCCCGUAAGGUAAAGGUGAAAAGGUGGGGUAAGAGCCCACCGCUUCGCUGGUGACAGCGAAGGCAUGGUAAACCUUGCGCGUUGAAAGACCAAAUAGGUUCUGCCGGCCCCCGGGCCGUGGGUUGCUCGUCCAUACCGCUAUGGUGGCAGAAUGGGUAGGUCGAUAGAGCCUGGCAGUGAUGUCAGGCCCAGAUAAAUGAUAAGGGUCUUGCCGACAGGCAAGAUACAGAACCCGGCUUACAGGUCUGCAUUUUUU